AUCUCUAUUUCUUUGAAAUAGGAAGACUCUGAAUAUACUCCUUUCUGUCAAUCCAGCCUUCAUAGAGGAACUCACAGAAAGGCAACAGGCCUCUCUGGACUGGAGAAGUGCAAAAACCCUCAAAGUCCUCAUCUGACAGGAGUGAGAUUAGCUGUCAUCUUUAAAUCAUCAAAGCCUGAGAUCAAGCAAGGCUUCUAAUCUUAACAAUUCUUUUCCUGCAUAUCGUGGUGUAGCCAUCAAGGUCAAAUAUCUGAAUGCCAC